AGCCAAUUGAGAAAGACCUGCCAAAACCCCACCUCAUAUAAGCUACGGCCAGAGACCCCUGGACACAGCCCUGCUGUCCCCUAGCCCCCCAGAGAUGCCCCCCUCACUGUGGGACGUCCCACCCGGUAAAACAGCUCCACCUAACUGGAGGACAGAUUAUGUUGGAAGUGGUGUGGGAGGACCAGGAGCUCAUUGUAAGGUGGAGGAGGAUUUGCCUCAGACUGAGCAGAAGGUUUUCAAGAAAAAGAGAGUCAAGGGGCUGUAUUGAACUGUCUUCAAAUGGAACGUAAUUGACUGUAUUGACUGAAGACCAAGAGGAUGAAGGCAGACAGAGAUCGAGGUCCAAAGUUAAACUCUCCUUCAACUGCAGGUCCCUCCACAUCUAAAGGAUCACUUGGAAUUGGAGCUCAACAUGUACAAUCUGGGAAUGUCCUGAAUCAGACCCCCGGCACCAGCCAGACCCCCGGCACCAGCCAGACUCCCGGCACCAGCCAGACCCCCGGCU